rnacentral:rRNA from 1 species
GCCUAAUGCAUGCAAGUCGAACGGGAUCCCUUAGAUUCGUCUGAGGGUGAGAGUGGCGAACGGGUGAGUAACACGUUGGUGACCUGCCCCAGAGAGGGGGAUAACCAGUGGAAACGCUGGCUAAUACCCCGGAUGUCGAGGUGUUUAGAAAGCCUUGACUAAAGCUCCGGCGCUCUGGGAGGGGCCUGCGGCCCAUCAGCUAGUUGGUAAGGUAAUGGCUUACCAAGGCGAAGACGGGUAGGGGGCGUGAGAGCGUGACCCCCCACACUGGUACUGACACACGGACCAGAUACCUGCGGGUAGCAGCAGCAAGGAAUAUUGCCCAAUGGACGAAAGUCUGAGGCAGCAACGCCGCGUGGAGGAUGAAGGCUUUCGGGUUGUAAACUCCUUUUAUGGGGGAAGAGAAUGGACGGUACCCCAUGAAUAAGAUCCGGCUAACUACGUGCCAGCAGCCGCGGUAAAACGUAGGGAUCGACCGUUAUCCGGAUUUACUGGGCGUCAAGCGCGUGCAGGCGGUUUUUUACAGUCGGCACGUGAAAGCUCCUGGCUCAACUGGGAGAGGCCGUUCGAAACUAGAAGACUUGAGGGUGGUAGAGGCAAGUGGAAUUCCUGGUGUAGUGGUGAAAUGCGUAGAUAUCGGGAGG